rnacentral:lncRNA from 1 species
GCGGCCUGUGACGCUCGAAGGGCGGGGAGCAGAGGGAGAUACAGAAACCGACAGGGGCCAGGCGCCCGGUGGCUCCGAAGCGGGGAAGUGGGACAAGAUGGUUUACAUCUCGAACGGAGCAAGUUAAUUAUUACCGGAAUGGAGAAUCCGAGAGACUUAAUUCUGCGAACCCACAAAGAAGAUGACCGGAAAGGAAGGACAUGACUGUGUCAGAUCAGUGCUAGAGCUGCCUGCCCACCUGUUUGACUCAGGACAAGUGUUGGACAGCCGGAGUCAGUCUCCAUGGAGAUUAUCUUUGAUAACAGAUUUCUUCUGGGGAAUAGCUGAGUUUGUGGUUUUG